UACGUAGGGUGCGAGCGUUGUCCGGAAUUAUUGGGCGUAAAGAGCUCGUAGGCGGUGUGUCGCGUCUGCUGUGAAAACUCGGGGCUUAACUCCGGGCCUGCAGUGGGUACGGGCAGACUAGAGUGCGGUAGGGGAGACUGGAAUUCCUGGUGUAGCGGUGAAAUGCGCAGAUAUCAGGAGGAACACCGGUGGCGAAGGCGGGUCUCUGGGCCGUAACUGACGCUGAGGAGCGAAAGCGUGGGGAGCGAACAGG
rnacentral:rRNA from 1 species